AAGGAGACAUCAGGGUAGGUGGAAUACUAUAACAACAAUGAGGAUAUUGUCAUAAUAUCCCACCCACCUUAAUGCAGAGCCUU